rnacentral:misc_RNA from 1 species
AACUUUUAACAAUGGAUCUCUAGGCCCUUGCAUCGAUGAAGAACGCAGUGAAAUGCGAUAAGUAAUGUGAAUUGCAGAAUCUCGUGAAUCAUUGAAUCUUUGAACGCACAUUGCGCCCUAUGGUAUUCUCAAGCAUUAUUUUGUGAUGUUUGGAUCUGUUUGGAGAGGCACCUCUGUCAGAGAGGUACCCCCCAGAAAUCUAUAUGGCAGUAUAGUUUAUAUCUGAACUAGGCGUAAUAAUAAUAAAGUCGCUGAAUUCACCAUAUUUAUACUUGCCUGAACCCACCCAUUUGUUGAACCGGGUGACCUCAGAUCAGGUAGGGAUACCCGCUGAACUUAAGCAUAUCAAUAAGCGGAGGCU